rnacentral:rRNA from 1 species
ACACGCAUGACACACUGCAUAUCAAUAAGCGGAGGAAAAGAAGCUAACAAGGAUUCCCCUUAGUAACGGCGAGUGAAGCGGGAAGAGCUCAAAUUUGAAAUCUUCAAGGUUUUACCUUGACGAAUUGUAGUUUAAAGAAGUGUUUUCUGUUGGAGUUUCGGUAAAAGUUCUUUGGAAUAGGACAUCAUAGAGGGUGAGAAUCCCGUAUUUGACCAGUUACUUUCCAGCUGUGUGAUACACUUUCAAAGAGUCGGAUUGUUUGGGAAUGCAGUCCAAAAUGGGUGGUAAAUUUCAUCUAAAGCUAAAUAUUGGCGAGAGAUCGAUAGCGAACAAGUACCGUGAGGGAAAGAUGAAAAGAACUUUGAAAAGAGAGUUAAACAGUACGUGAAAUUGUCAAAAGGGAAGCGUUUGACACCAGUGUUGUUUAGUUGAAAAUCAAUUCAAUAAUUUUUGAUUUUAAGUAGUAUUGACUUCAUCAGCUUGCUGCUUUCUUUUCGGAAAUUAUUGAAUGCACUUUUCAGUUAACAAGUCAACAUCAAUUUCUUUUGUUGUAAAAGGGUAAGAGGAAGGUGGCUUACGCUUCGGCGUAAGUGUUUAUAGCCUUUUACCUCUGCAAUCGGAGAGAUUGAGGACAGCAGCGUAGACUCCUUCGGGGGUUAGAUACACUUGUGCUAAGCUAUAGCCUUGUAUAGACAACUUGUUGACUAUGCUCAGUCGUGUAGCUUACUCGCUUGUGCUAUUUUACCUACGCUUAGGAUGUUGAGCGCAUGUCUUCUCU